GUUCAUGAUUUGUUCAAAUUGUUCUGUGGCACUAGAUCAAUGUGGCUUAAUAGUAGUUUUGGCCCCUAACUUUUUCAAAGUUGCGAUUUUGGUCUUUUAAAGAGAAAAAUAACUACAAAAUUUCCUCCUUUGCCACCAAGAACUCUAGUUUUUGCCGAAGGUCAAUUUUGUACGUUUUUUUAGGGGCAAAAGUCUUAUGUUAGUUAAAGUUUGGGGCGAAGACUGCUAUUAAUCCGAUCAAUGUUGACUACAAAUUGUUCUUUUGCUUCAGUUUUUUUAACGUAUUUUCUUCUGGUUCUGCUUGUUUUG
rnacentral:lncRNA from 1 species